rnacentral:rRNA from 1 species
UACGAAGGGGGCUAGCGUUGCUCGGAAUCACUGGGCGUAAAGCGCCCGUAGGCGGCGUCUUAAGUCAGGGGUGAAAUCCUGGAGCUCAACUCCAGAACUGCCUUUGAUACUGAGAUGCUUGAGUCCGGGAGAGGUGAGUGGAACUGCGAGUGUAGAGGUGAAAUUCGUAGAUAUUCGCAAGAACACCAGUGGCGAAGGCGGCUCACUGGCCCGGUACUGACGCUGAGGUGCGAAAGCGUGGGGAGCAAACAGG